UACAGAGGUCUCAAGCGUUGUUCGGAUUCAUUGGGCGUAAAGGGUGCGUAGGUGGCGCCGUAAGUCAGGUGUGAAAUCUCGGGGCUUAACUCCGAAACUGCAUUUGAUACUGCGGUGCUUGAGGACUGGAGAGGAGACUGGAAUUUACGGUGUAGCAGUGAAAUGCGUAGAGAUCGUAAGGAAGACCAGUGGCGAAGGCGGGUCUCUGGACAGUUCCUGACACUGAGGCACGAAGUCCAGGGGAGC
rnacentral:rRNA from 1 species